rnacentral:rRNA from 1 species
AUUGAACGCUGGCGGCAGGCCUAACACAUGCAAGUCGAGCGAGCGGCGGACGGGUGAGUAAUGUAUGGGGACUGCCCGCUAGAGGGGGAUAACUACUGGAAACGGUGGCUAAUACCGCAUACUAUCGGAUAACCCAUAUGGGAUUAGCUAGUAGGUGGGGUAAAGGCUCACCUGGGCGACGAUCGCUAGCUGGUCUGAGAGGAUGAUCAGCCACACGGGGAAGGAGACACGGCCCAGACCCCAAGGGAGGCAGCAGUGGGGAAUAUUGCACAAUGGGCGCAAGCCUGAUGCAGCCAUGCCGAGUGAACGAAGAAGGCCUUAGGGUUGUAAAGGACUUUCAGCGGGGAGGCGGUACCCGCAGAAGAAGCACCGGCUAACUCCGUGCCAGCAGCCGCGGUAAUAC